UGGCGGCGUGCCUAACACAUGCAAGUCGAACGAGAAAGGGGAGCAAUCCCUGAGUAAAGUGGCGACCGGGUGAGUAACACGUGACUAACCUGCCUUCGAGUGGGGGAUAACCUCGGGAAACCGGGGCUAAUACCGCAUAAUGCCGAGAGGUUAAAGGAGCAAUUCGCUUGAAGAGGGGGUCGCGGCUGAUUAGCUAGUUGGCGGGGUAACGGCCCACCAAGGCGAUGAUCGGUAGCCGGCCUGAGAGGGCGCACGGCCACACUGGAACUGAAACACGGUCCAGACUCCUACGGGAGGCAGCAGUGGGGAAUUUUGCGCAAUGGGGGAAACCCUGACGCAGCAACGCCGCGUGGAGGAUGAAGUCCCUUGGGACGUAAACUCCUUUCGACCGGGACGAUAAUGACGGUACCGGUGGAAGAAGCCCCGGCUAACUUCGUGCCAGCAGCCGCGGUAAUACGAGGGGGGCAAGCGUUGUUCGGAAUUAUUGGGCGUAAAGGGCGCGUAGGCGGUGCGGUAAGUCACCUGUGAAAACUUCGGGCUUAACUC
rnacentral:rRNA from 1 species